CAGUACGGCUCAGUAACACGUAGUCAAUCUAACCUAUGGCACGGGGAUAACCUCGGGAAACUGAGAAUAAUACCCGAUAGAUCAUUAUGCCUGGAAUGGUUUAUGGUCGAAAUGAUUUAUCGCCGUAGGGUGGGACUGCGUUCUAUCAGCUUGUUGGGGAGGUAAUGGCCCACCAAGGCUAUAACAGAUACGGGCUCUGAGAGGAGAAGCCCGGAGAUGGGUACUGAGACACGGACCCAGGCCCUAUGGGGCGCAGCAGGCGAGAAAACUUUGCAAUGUGCGAAAGCACGACAAGGUUAAUCCGAGUGUUUUCUGCUAAAGAAAUCUUUUGUCAGUCCUAAAAACACUGAUGAAUAAGGGGUGGGCAAGUUCUGGUGUCAGCCGCCGCGGUAAAACCAGCACCUCAAGUGGUCAGGAGGAUUAUUGGGCCUAAAGCAUCCGUAGCCGGCUCUGUAAGUUUUCGGUUAAAUCUAUAUGCUCAACAUAUAGGCUGCCGGGAAUACUGCAGAGCUAGGGAGUGGGAGAGGUAGACCGUACUCGGUAGGAAGGGGUAAAAUCCUUUGAUCUAUCGAUGACCACCUGUGGCGAAGGCCGGUCUACUAGAACACGU
rnacentral:rRNA from 1 species